rnacentral:rRNA from 1 species
CAAAAAAUCUAGCCCUAAUAAACUUAUGAAAACAACUUUUUACCACUUAAAUUAAAUCAUUCUAAAAACCUAGUAAAGGAGAUUAAAAAGUUAAAAGGAGCUAUAAAAUUAGUACCGCAAGGGAAAGAUGAAAUAUAAAUGAAAAACUUAAGCACAAAAUAGUAGAGAUUUAAUCUUGUACCUUUUGCAUCAUGGUUUAACUAGUUUAACCAGGCAAAAAGAAUUUAAGUCUGACCUCCCGAAACUAAGUGAGCUACUUCAGGGCAGCUUAAUGAGCCAACCCGUCUCUGUUGCAAAAGAGUGGGAAGACCCUCAAGUAGGGGUGAUAGACCUACCGAACUUAGUGAUAGCUGGUUAUUCAAGAAAAGAACAUUAGUUCAACUUAAAACUUAUAUAAUAUAACAAAAUUACAUUUAAAUUUUUAAGCAAUUCAAAUAAGGUACAGCCUAUUUGAAACAGGAUACAACCUCUACUAAUGGGUAAUUUUUAUAUUCUCGUAAUUAAGUGGGCCUAAUAGCAGCCAACUUUUAAAAAGCGUCAAAGCUUUUUUACAUAACAAUCUAAUACCUUAAUAAACAUAAAACCCUUUACCUAUAUUGAAUACUUCUAUACUAUUAUAGAAUAUUUUAUGUUAAAACUAGUAACAAGAAGAAGAACUUCUCUUAAAUGUACUUGUAAAUCAGCUAGGACUAACCACUGAUAAUUAUCGUAUUUGAUAUUAUAGUAUUUACACUACAAGAAAAACCUACUCCACACCACGUUAAACUUACACAAGAACAUUAAAAGAAAGAUUAAAAGAAAAGGAAGGAACUCGGCAAAUAUUAACCUCGCCUGUUUACCAAAAACAUCGCCUCUUGGUUUAAUCAUAAGAGGUCCAGCCUGCCCAGUGACUUAGUUCAACGGCCGCGGUAUCCUAACCGUGCGAAGGUAGCGUAAUCACUUGUUCUUUAAAUGAGGACUAGUAUGAAUGGCAUUACGAGGGUUAUACUGUCUCCCUUUUUUAAUCAGUGAAACUAAUCUUCCCGUGAAGAAGCGGGAAUAAAUCUAUAAGACGAGAAGACCCUAUGGAGCUUUAAACUAUAAAACACUUGUUCCUUAAUAAUUUUCUUCCAGAAAUAUAAGCAAAACCCUAACACUAUGUUUACUAGUUUUCGGUUGGGGUGACCGCGGAGCAUAAAAUAACCUCCACGAUGAAAGAGAUUAAAUUUCUUAGCCCAGAACUACAUUUCAAAGCACCAAAAUUUUGACAUUUAUUGAUCCAAUCUAUUGAUCAACGAACCAAGUUACCCUAGGGAUAACAGCGCAAUCUACUUCAAGAGCCCCUAUCGACAAGUGGGUUUACGACCUCGAUGUUGGAUCAGGGUAUCCUAGUGGUGCA